rnacentral:ncRNA from 23 species
UGUUAAUAUUAGAAUAACUGUUCUUUUAAAUUUUACAGUGUAUAAGCUAAGGGAAGUCUGUACACCGAAAAUUCGGGAAAUCAGACACAGUCCCGCUGCUGUAAUGGAGGACGAAAGCCACAAAAAGUCACUGCCUGAAAAUUUCGGGUGGGAAGGCGUGGUGAGUAGAUUGAUUCCAGAGUCAGAAGACCUGCUUAUACAAAUCUGUCCAAA